UUGGACUAACAUCGUAGGUGGUGGCAUCUACCUGGUGGUGUCCAUCUCGUAUCAGCUAGAUAGAUAUAAAGUAAUCCUUUAUUUAUCCCACCUUGGCUUUAGGCAUUUGUCCAUUUCUGGUUCGUGCUUUGGAUAUAUGU